UGUCAAAUCAAUAGUUUAAGGCCUGUCUACUACUGCUCCUGGAAAUGAAGUGUCCCGUUUUGGAUGACAAAUUGUAUGAUUACCUUGACUAUAAUGCAACUGGUAUAACUUCAAAGGCUACCACUUUCUCCAUUCCAGCCACAAAUAGAAUACCGAACACUGGACAUCAACUUGCAAAUGUAGUAAGAGUGCAGCUUCAGGCUUUGUCUACACCAUAUCUUUGAGACUGGCUCUUCUAAGAAGUUCCUUCCAGCAACUGCUCUCCUUGCUCCAACCUCCAACAGUACUUCCUCCAACAGCACUCCAACGACCUCCAGUCUCCAGCUUCGACUGAUCUGAAACUUGCCACGUUGACUUUCAAUACACUGUUAAAUAAGGACAUAUCUGUGUUCCCAGCUAUACUAAAGUCUCCUUGAGAGCAGUUGGAAAACCUCAAUAAUACUAUGAAUUGAAAUUCAUUAAACACUAAAUGUAUGCCAAA